rnacentral:rRNA from 1 species
AGUGAACGCUGGCGGUGGGCUUAACACAUGCAAGUCGAACGGCAGCGCAGUAAGAGCUUGCUCUUCCGGGGGGGGAGUGGCGGACGGGAGAGGAAAACAUCGGGAUCUACUUUUUCGUGGGGGUUAACGUAGGUAAACUUACGCUCAUACCGCAUACGACCUUGCAGUGAAGGGAGUGGAUCUUCUGACCUUGCGCGAUUGGAUGAGCCGCUGUCGGAUUGGCUAGUUGGCGGGGUGAAGACCCACCAAGUGGCCGAUCCGUAGCUGGUGGGUGUGGAUGGUAGGCGGCACUAGAGCGUAGACACGCUCCAGGCGACUGCGAGAGGCAGCAGAGUGGAAUAUUGGACAAUAGGCGCAAGCCUGAUCCAGCCAUACCGCGUGGGUGAAGAAGGCCUUCGGGUUGUAAAGACCGUUUUUUGGGAAAGAAAAGCAGCAGGUUAUUACCCCGCUGUUCUGACGGUACCCAAAGAAUAAGCACCGGCUAACUUCGUG